UACGUAGGGUGCAAGCGUUGUCCGGAAUUAUUGGGCGUAAAGAGCUCGUAGGCGGUUUGUCGCGUCUGCUGUGAAAACGCGAGGCUCAACCUCGCGCCUGCAGUGGGUACGGGCAGACUAGAGUGCGGUAGGGGAGAUUGGAAUUCCUGGUGUAGCGGUGGAAUGCGCAGAUAUCAGGAGGAACAUCGAUGGCGAAGGCAGAUCUCUGGGCCGUAACUGACGCUGAGGAGCGAAAGCGUGGGGAGCGAACAGG
rnacentral:rRNA from 1 species